rnacentral:rRNA from 1 species
CCUACGGGCGGCAGCAGUGAGGAAUAUUGGUCAAUGGACGUAAGUCUGAACCAGCCAUGCCGCGUGCAGGAAGACGGCCCUAUGAGUUGUAAACUGCUUUUGUACGAGGGUAAACGCAGACACGCGUAUUUGUUUGAAAGUAUCGUAUGAAUAAGGAUCGGCUAAUUCCGUGCCAGCAGCCGCGGUAAUACGGAGGAUUCAAGCGUUAUCCGGAUUUAUUGGGUUUAAAGGGUGCGUAGGCGGUCUGUUAAGUUAGAGGUGAAAUGCCGUGGCUCAACCUUGGAAUUGCCUCUGAUACUGUCCGGCUAGAGUGUAGUUGCGGUAUGCGGAAUGUGUGGUGUAGCGGUGAAAUGCUUAGAUAUCAUGCAGAACACCGAUUGCGAAGGCAGCUUACCAAGCUACUUCUGACGUUGAGGCACGAAGGCGUGGGGAUCAAACAGGAUUAGAUACCCCUGUAGUC